rnacentral:tRNA from 1 species
GCUAGAAUAGCUUAAUUGGUUAGACAGAGUGGCUGUUAACCAUAAGGUCUGAGGUUCAAUCCCUCUUUCUAAUG